GUCUCUGUAGCUCAGGGUUUAGAGCGCCGCUCUCAUGAGGCGGAGGUCGGGGGUUAAAAUCCCCCCAGAGACA
rnacentral:tRNA from 1 species